rnacentral:rRNA from 1 species
GACGAACGCUGGCGGCGUGCUUAACACAUGCAAGUCGAACGGAAAGGCCCUGCUUUUGUGGGGUGCUCGAGUGGCGAACGGGUGAGUAACACGUGAGUAACCUGCCCUUGACUUUGGGAUAACUUCAGGAAACUGGGGCUAAUACCGGAUAGGAGCUCCUGCUGCAUGGUGGGGGUUGGAAAGUUUCGGCGGUUGGGGAUGGACUCGCGGCUUAUCAGCUUGUUGGUGGGGUAGUGGCUUACCAAGGCUUUGACGGGUAGCCGGCCUGAGAGGGUGACCGGCCACAUUGGGACUGAGAUACGGCCCAGACUCCUACGGGAGGCAGCAGUGGGGAAUAUUGGCCAAUGGGAGGAAGCCGGAUGCAGCAACGCCGCGGGCGGGAUGACGGCCUUCGGGUUGGAAACCGCUUUCGCCUGUGACGAAGCGUGAGUGACGGUAAUGGGUAAAGAAGCACCGGCUAACUACGUG